GUCCGAAACUACCUUCUGCUAGAGUGAAAAUUGAUAAAUUUCAAAUGCUUUCAGCGUUAUUGUCCUGACAACGGAGUGUGAGAAAACAUUUGAAUACUAGCAUUGCCAACACGAUAAAUGAACACACAUGAUCAGCCGGAAGCAGUCGCCGCUGACAGGUGGCGACACACCACUGCGGCUGCAGAGACGGAGCAGAGGUUCGCACCGGCCACGUGGCACGGCGAGGCUGCAGACCGACCGCAUUACCGGAGGCUGCCGCGGCGAGUCGGAGAGAGACUGCCGGUCCGAUACAUGCCGCUGUGCCGGAGCUCACCUUCGACAGUAGUAGGACAGCUCUGAGAAUGGUUGCAGGAGAUGGUCAGGGGAAGAAUAUUGAUGAUCUCCCAGAUGAAAUAAUACUAGAUGUAUUUUCAUUCUUCAGUUUUAAUGAGCUUAUAGACAUCUUGCAAAAUGUGUGUGUGCGAUGGAAGAGAUUGGCACACGACCCGGUGCUCUGGCGUGGCAAAGAGUAUAUCAUCAGAGGAAGGGCACAGAAUGGGAGGAGCUGCUGCGGUGUCACCUGCUCCGAGUGCGCCCACUGCAGGUGUGAGAAGACGGACAGAGAGGUCUUACGGACAGCCGGUAUGAUGCCACAACUCCGGACACUUACGAUGAUGCGCGGUACCAGAGCUCGCAUCUUACGUAAGAUCUGCAGGAACUGUCUGAAUCUCACAACUU